GUGUCAGCCGCCGCGGUAAUACGGAGGGUACAAGCGUUAAUCGGAAUUACUGGGCGUAAAGCGCGCGUAGGCGGCUAAGUAAGUUGGAUGUGAAAGCCCUGGGCUCAACCUAGGAACUGCAUUCAAAACUAUCUAGCUAGAGUACGAGAGAGGAAAGUAGAAUUUCUGGUGUAGCGGUGAAAUGCGUAGAUAUCAGAAGGAAUACCAAUGGCGAAGGCAGCUUUCUGGCUCGUCACUGACGCUAAGGUGCGAAAGCGUGGGUAGCAAACAGGAUUAGAUACCCUGGUAGUCCACGCCGUAAACGAUGAGAACUAGCCGUUGGGAGGAAUUAACCUUUCAGUGGCGCAGCUAACGCAUUAAGUUCUCCGCCUGGGGACUACGGCCGCAAGGCUAAAACUCAAAUGAAUUGACGGGGGCCCGCACAAGCGGUGGAGCAUGUUGUUUAAUUCGAUGCAACGCGAAGAACCUUACCUACCCUUGAAAUCCAGCGAAGUUCUUAGAGAUAGGAAUGUGCCUUCGGGAACGCUGUGACAGGUGUUGCAUGGCUGUCGUCAGCUCGUGUCGUGAGAUGUAUGGUUAAGUCCAGUAACGAGCGCAACCCCUAUCCUUAUUUGCCAGCGCAUAAUGGCGGGAACUAUAGGGAGACUGCCGGUCAAAAACCGGAGGAAGGCGGGGACGAGGUCAAGUCAUCAUGGCCCUUAUGGGUAGGGCUACAAACGUGCUACAAUGGAUGGUACAACAGGUUGCCAAAGCGUGAGCUGGAGCCAAACCUCUAAAACUAUUCUUAGUCCGGAUUGGAGUCUGCAACUCGACUCCAUGAAGUUGGAAUCGCUAGUAAUCGCGAAUCAGAAUGUCGCGGUGAAUACGUUCUCGGGCCUUGCACACACCGCCCGUC
rnacentral:rRNA from 1 species